UACGUAGGGCGCAAGCGUUGUCCGGAAUUAUUGGGCGUAAAGAGCUCGUAGGUGGCGUGUCGCGUCUGCCGUGAAAGCCCAUGGCUUAACUGUGGGUCUGCGGUGGAUACGGGCAGGCUGGAGGCUGGUAGGGGCAAGCGGAAUUCCUGGUGUAGCGGUGAAAAUGCGCAGAUAUCAGGAGGAACACCGGUGGCGAAGGCGGCUUGCUGGGCCAGUUCUGACGCUGAGGAGCGAAAGCGUGGGGAGCGAACAGG
rnacentral:rRNA from 1 species